CUAGCUGUAAACGAUGGAUACUGGGCGUUGAGAGUAUCGACCCUCUCAGUGUCGUAGCUAACGCGUUAAGUAUCCCGCCUGGGGAGUACGCGCGCAAGCGUGAAACUCAAAGGAAUUGACGGGGGCCCGCACAAGCGGUGGAGUAUGUGGUUUAAUUCGAUGCAACGCGAAGAACCUUACCAGGGCUUGACAUGUCCGGAACCCUGCCCAAAGGCGGGGGUGCCUACGGGAACCGGAACACAGGUGGUGC
rnacentral:rRNA from 1 species